AAACAAGAUAAUUUCGCCAGAGUACUACUAGCAACAGCCUAAAACUCAAAGGACUUGGCGGUGCUUCAUACCCCUCUAGAGGAGCCUGUUCUGUAACCGAUAAACCCCGAUCAACCUCACCAACCCUUGCUACUUCAGUCUAUAUACCGCCAUCUUCAGCAAACCCUAAAGGGAGCAAAAGUAAGCAUAACCAUCCUACAUAAAAACGUUAGGUCAAGGUGUAACCUAUGGGUUGGGAAGAAAUGGGCUACAUUUUCUAAGCUAAGAACAUCCCCUACCCACACGAAAGUUUUUAUGAAACUUAAAAACCANNGGAGGAUUUAGUAGUAAAUCAAGAGCAGAGUGCUUGAUUGAAUAAGGCCAUGA
rnacentral:rRNA from 1 species